UGCAGAGUGGCUCAGUGGUUAGAGCCUAGGGCUUGAGAGUGGAAGGUCCAGGGUUCGAAUCUCGCAACAUGCAG
rnacentral:tRNA from 1 species